GAUGAACGCUGGCGGCGUGCCUAAUACAUGCAAGUCGAGCGAACAGAUAAGGAGCUUGCUCCUUUGACGUUAGCGGCGGACGGGUGAGUAACACGUGGGUAACCUACCUAUAAGACUGGAAUAACUCCGGGAAACCGGGGCUAAUGCCGGAUAAUAUUUAGAACCGCAUGGUUCUAAAGUGAAAGAUGGUUUUGCUAUCACUUAUAGAUGGACCCGCGCCGUAUUAGCUAGUUGGUGGGGUAAAGGCUUACCAAGGCAACGAUACGUAGCCGACCUGAGAGGGUGAUCGGCCACACUGGAACUGAGACACGGUCCAGACUCCUACGGGAGGCAGCAGUAGGGAAUCUUCCGCAAUGGGCGAAAGCCUGACGGAGCAACGCCGCGUGAGUGAUGAAGGUCCUCGGAUCGUAAAACUCUGCUAUUAGGGAAGAACAAAUGUGUAAGUAACUGUGCACGUCUUGACGGUACCUAAUCAGAAAGCCACGGCUAACUACGUGCCAGCAGCCGC
rnacentral:rRNA from 1 species